rnacentral:rRNA from 1 species
UUAAGCGACUAAGCGUACACGGUGGAUGCCCUGGCAGUCAGAGGCGAUGAAGGACGUGCUAAUCUGCGAUAAGCGUCGGUAAGGUGAUAUGAACCGUUAUAACCGGCGAUUUCCGAAUGGGGAAACCCAGUGUGAUUCGUCACACUAUCAUUAACUGAAUCCAUAGGUUAAUGAGGCGAACCGGGGGAACUGAAACAUCUAAGUACCCCGAGGAAAAGAAAUCAACCGAGAUUCCCCCAGUAGCGGCGAGCGAACGGGGAGGAGCCCAGAGCCUGAAUCAGUGUGUGUGUUAGUGGAAGCGUCUGGAAAGGCGCGCGAUACAGGGUGACAGCCCCGUACACAAAAAUGCACAUGCUGUGAGCUCGAUGAGUAGGGCGGGACACGUGGUAUCCUGUCUGAAUAUGGGGGGACCAUCCUCCAAGGCUAAAUACUCCUGACUGACCGAUAGUGAACCAGUACCGUGAGGGAAAGGCGAAAAGAACCCCGGCGAGGGGAGUGAAAAAGAACCUGAAACCGUGUACGUACAAGCAGUGGGAGCACAGAGCAAUCUGUGUGACUGCGUACCUUUUGUAUAAUGGGUCAGCGACUUAUAUUCUGUAGCAAGGUUAACCGAAUAGGGGAGCCGAAGGGAAACCGAGUCUUAACUGGGCGUUAAGUUGCAGGGUAUAGACCCGAAACCCGGUGAUCUAGCCAUGGGCAGGUUGAAGGUUGGGUAACACUAACUGGAGGACCGAACCGACUAAUGUUGAAAAAUUAGCGGAUGACUUGUGGCUGGGGGUGAAAGGCCAAUCAAACCGGGAGAUAGCUGGUUCUCCCCGAAAGCUAUUUAGGUAGCGCCUCGUGAAUUCAUCUCCGGGGGUAGAGCACUGUUUCGGCAAGGGGGUCAUCCCGACUUACCAACCCGAUGCAAACUGCGAAUACCGGAGAAUGUUAUCACGGGAGACACACGGCGGGUGCUAACGUCCGUCGUGAAGAGGGAAACAACCCAGACCGCCAGCUAAGGUCCCAAAGUCAUGGUUAAGUGGGAAACGAUGUGGGAAGGCCCAGACAGCCAGGAUGUUGGCUUAGAAGCAGCCAUCAUUUAAAGAAAGCGUAAUAGCUCACUGGUCGAGUCGGCCUGCGCGGAAGAUGUAACGGGGCUAAACCAUGCACCGAAGCUGCGGCAGCGACGCUUAUGCGUUGUUGGGUAGGGGAGCGUUCUGUAAGCCUGCGAAGGUGUGCUGUGAGGCAUGCUGGAGGUAUCAGAAGUGCGAAUGCUGACAUAAGUAACGAUAAAGCGGGUGAAAAGCCCGCUCGCCGGAAGACCAAGGGUUCCUGUCCAACGUUAAUCGGGGCAGGGUGAGUCGACCCCUAAGGCGAGGCCGAAAGGCGUAGUCGAUGGGAAACAGGUUAAUAUUCCUGUACUUGGUGUUACUGCGAAGGGGGGACGGAGAAGGCUAUGUUGGCCGGGCGACGGUUGUCCCGGUUUAAGCGUGUAGGCUGGUUUUCCAGGCAAAUCCGGAAAAUCAAGGCUGAGGCGUGAUGACGAGGCACUACGGUGCUGAAGCAACAAAUGCCCUGCUUCCAGGAAAAGCCUCUAAGCAUCAGGUAACAUCAAAUCGUACCCCAAACCGACACAGGUGGUCAGGUAGAGAAUACCAAGGCGCUUGAGAGAACUCGGGUGAAGGAACUAGGCAAAAUGGUGCCGUAACUUCGGGAGAAGGCACGCUGAUAUGUAGGUGAAGUCCCUCGCGGAUGGAGCUGAAAUCAGUCGAAGAUACCAGCUGGCUGCAACUGUUUAUUAAAAACACAGCACUGUGCAAACACGAAAGUGGACGUAUACGGUGUGACGCCUGCCCGGUGCCGGAAGGUUAAUUGAUGGGGUUAGCGCAAGCGAAGCUCUUGAUCGAAGCCCCGGUAAACGGCGGCCGUAACUAUAACGGUCCUAAGGUAGCGAAAUUCCUUGUCGGGUAAGUUCCGACCUGCACGAAUGGCGUAAUGAUGGCCAGGCUGUCUCCACCCGAGACUCAGUGAAAUUGAACUCGCUGUGAAGAUGCAGUGUACCCGCGGCAAGACGGAAAGACCCCGUGAACCUUUACUAUAGCUUGACACUGAACAUUGAGCCUUGAUGUGUAGGAUAGGUGGGAGGCUUUGAAGUGUGGACGCCAGUCUGCAUGGAGCCGACCUUGAAAUACCACCCUUUAAUGUUUGAUGUUCUAACGUUGACCCGUGAUCCGGGUUGCGGACAGUGUCUGGUGGGUAGUUUGACUGGGGCGGUCUCCUCCUAAAGAGUAACGGAGGAGCACGAAGGUUGGCUAAUCCUGGUCGGACAUCAGGAGGUUAGUGCAAUGGCAUAAGCCAGCUUGACUGCGAGCGUGACGGCGCGAGCAGGUGCGAAAGCAGGUCAUAGUGAUCCGGUGGUUCUGAAUGGAAGGGCCAUCGCUCAACGGAUAAAAGGUACUCCGGGGAUAACAGGCUGAUACCGCCCAAGAGUUCAUAUCGACGGCGGUGUUUGGCACCUCGAUGUCGGCUCAUCACAUCCUGGGGCUGAAGUAGGUCCCAAGGGUAUGGCUGUUCGCCAUUUAAAGUGGUACGCGAGCUGGGUUUAGAACGUCGUGAGACAGUUCGGUCCCUAUCUGCCGUGGGCGCUGGAGAACUGAGGGGGGCUGCUCCUAGUACGAGAGGACCGGAGUGGACGCAUCACUGGUGUUCGGGUUGUCAUGCCAAUGGCACUGCCCGGUAGCUAAAUGCGGAAGAGAUAAGUGCUGAAAGCAUCUAAGCACGAAACUUGCCCCGAGAUGAGUUCUCCCUGACUCCUUGAGAGUCCUGAAGGAACGUUGAAGACGACGACGUUGAUAGGCCGGGUGUGUAAGCGCAGCGAUGCGUUGAGCUAACCGGUACUAAUGAACCGUGAGGCUUAACCUU